UUUUAAGUGAAGUAAAAUUAAUUUAUUCUCCCUGAUUUUGUCUGUCUCCAGGACCAAUUCUAUUAAAAGACUUCAAUGGAAAAUCUUAUUUCUCACACAAAUGCAUAAAAAUAGUAAACUGCUGAGCUCAAUAAGUAAGCAUUACAGCCGGCUCAGUAACAGACAUCUUGGCGAGAGAGCAAAAGAAGUUUUAUCUCACCACUGUUACAAUGGGUUCCUUGUAAAAAUACAACACCUCUAAUUCAACAACAAAUUCCCGGAAUUGAACACAUCAUUGGGAGAAUAAAAUUUAGCAUCUCAAGUUCAUUUGUCAUAUCGAGCAUUUCUUCUUGCGCACUCCAAGAUAGUUUUGUCAGCAGUGAUGAAAUAAGCAGCAAUUGAUGCACCAGAGAUGAUGAGUGAUUGAGCAACGUAAUUGAGAUUCGCCUUUGCCCAAGGAAUCACGCGAACAGCAGUCAACUGAAAAUACAGAAAAGGAAGAAGCCAAAUAAAAAACAAAUUAAAAGGAAUAAACCAGCCUUUGAAAUUUUCAGUAAGGUAAAGUAAAAUAAUGAAAAGUAAGGCAAGGUUUUUUAAUGUUACAUUGUGUGGGAGGAAGAUAAGAUAAAUGGUAGUUUAUUAACUUUAUGUUGUAUGGAUCAAAGGUAUAGGAAGACAAGGAUUGGUAAUAACUAAUAUAUUUAUAAAAAAACUUCCCAACACCGAUUGAGAAACUGAUGGUUUUGAAGGUUUUAAAAACCACAAAAAACCCUCAAAAACCUUACCUUCCCCAUAAAACUCCCUCCCAAACCAUAUAUCUUACUUAGAUUAAAAACCCUUAACCUACCUCUAAAAACCUGCUCCAAACAAAGUGUCAAGGAGCACAAAGAAUACAGUAUCUCUUUGAAACUAAAGAUUCAUACUUUUUUCUUUCCCUUUAAUAUAACAACACAUAACCAACUAUUUAUUGCUCAAAUAUACGACUUUUAAACACUGUCUAGGAUGACCAGAUUACAGAGAUAAUGAUGAUGGGAGACUCAAGGUAAAUAAGAUAAUAGAAGCAGGAUCACCAAUUAAACUGAAUAGUUCUAUUUACAAAUUUGGACAAGUUAUCAUUACUUCUAUUUAGAAAAGGAAUAAACUGACAAGAUAAUGGGACUUAUUAAGACCAAAGAAUCCUAAACUUGUUAUCAACUUAUAAGACGCAAAAGGUGCAUCUACUCCUAGAAAAAUUCUCUCUUUAACUGUUAUUUGAUCUCCUUCUAAGUUAUAGUCAAACCCAGGCGACAAAAUAUGAAAAAGCAAAUAGUAUGAAAAAUAAAACAUACAGUAGGGACAGCAGUGACAACACAAGUGAUAGCAGCUGCCUUAGCUCCGGCACGAGCACCUUCUUCAGUGCAACGUUUAGAUUCCAAAAUCCUCUUUUCCUCAGCUGGAGAAGGAAUCACAAAGGAAGCGUUAUACUUCUUGUUGUUUCUGAUUGUCUGUGCCAAGUAAUCUCUCAUUUCUGAUGGGAUCCCCAUUAUUUUCUUCCUUACAGUUUCAACUUCUUCAAAAUCAAAACGAAGUCAAUCUUCCUCUACAAAAUCAAAACAAGAAAAACGAAUCCAAUGGCAGCGAUCCAAUAGCUAGAAAGAAAGAGAGAGAGAGUCGGGUCGUGAUUGUACGUCUGCUAAGCGAAUUGGAUCGGCAUGGUCCUGCUAAAUAGGAUAAGAAAAGCCGAGCCGCCGCGUUUUUUUUAAUUUGCUUUUAUUGCUCAGCAACCCUUAGGGUUCUAAAACCGCCGUCGACGCACAUUGUUUUU
rnacentral:misc_RNA from 1 species